GACGAACGCUGGCGGCGUGCUUAACACAUGCAAGUCGAGCGGAGCGGCGAACGGGUGAGUAACGCGUGAGUAACUGCCCCCCUCUCUGGGAUAACAGUUGGAAACGGGUGCUAAUACCGGAUAGUGGGGGAUGACUCGCGUCCGAUCAGCUUGUUGGUGGGGUAGUGGCCUAGCAAGGCGACGACGGGUAGCCGGCCUGAGAGGGCGACCGGCCACGUUGGACUGAAAUACGGCCCAAACUCAUACGGGAGGCAGCAGAGGGGAAUAUUGCACAAUGGGGGAAACGAUGAUGCAGCAACGCGCGUGCGGGAUGACGGCCUUCGAGUUGUAACCCGAUUUCAGCCAUGACGCGGUAGUGGCAGAAGAAGCACCGGCUAACUACGUGCCAGCAGCCGCGGUAAUAC
rnacentral:rRNA from 1 species